rnacentral:misc_RNA from 1 species
AACGCACAUUGCGCCCCUUGGUAUUCCGAGGGGCAUGCCUGUUCGAGCGUCAUUAUCACCCUUCAAGCUCUGCUUGGUGUUGGGGCCUGCUGUUACAGGCAGCCCUUAAAAUCAGUGGCAGUGGUCAUUAGGCUCUAAGCGUAGUAAUUCUUCUCGCUAUAGCGUCUAGUGGUUGCGCGCCAAAACUCCCAACUUUUUAUGAUUGACCUCGGAUCAGGUAGGGAUACCCGCUGAACUUAA